GAUGAACGCUGGCGGCGUGCCUAAUACAUGCAAGUAGAACGCUGAAGGAAGGAGCUUGCUCUUUCCGGAUGAGUUGCGAACGGGUGAGUAACGCGUAGGUAACCUGCCUGGUAGCGGGGGAUAACUAUUGGAAACGAUAGCUAAUACCGCAUAACAGUAGAUGUUGCAUGAUAUCUACUUAAAAGGUGCAAUUGCACCACUACCAGAUGGACCUGCGUUGUAUUAGCUAGUUGGUGAGGUAACGGCUCACCAAGGCGACGAUACAUAGCCGACCUGAGAGGGUGAUCGGCCACACUGGGACUGAGACACGGCCCAGACUCCUACGGGAGGCAGCCGUAGGGAAUCUUCGGCAAUGGACGGAAGUCUGACCGAGCAACGCCGCGUGAGUGAAGAAGGUUUUCGGAUCGUAAAGCUCUGUUGUAAGAGAAGAACGAGUGUGAGAGUGGAAAGUUCACACUGUGACGGUAUCUUACCAGAAAGGGACGGCUAACUACGUG
rnacentral:rRNA from 1 species